ensembl:lncRNA
CAGGGCACUCUAGAAGUUGUUGCACUCGCGGGUGUCAGUGAGGGCACCUGUGCACGUAGCCCAGGAUGGGCCUGCCACACUGCACUUCCGGCUGCGCUGUUGGGUCCCAUUGGCACAGGAUGAGGAGCAUGGGCCCCACGGACCCCAUUCUAGCCACUGGCCUUCCACUGCAUGGGGAGACACAAGCAGGGGUGGUCGUUGAGCAGAGCACAGGUAGAUUGGCAGGGGCAGAAUACCACAGGGAGACCGCAGUGCCUGCUUGGCACUUGGACCUAUGCCAGGCCAGCCUCACUUUGUAGGUGCACGAAGGGGUCAGGAGUGAGCAAGCAGGUAGUCCCUGGGCCUUAUCCUGCCCGCCUGUCACCAGCUCCAGGAAGACAGGACACAUCUUCACUCAGCACCGAGGUGCAAGUCCUCUUCUGGCUAAGGACAUGGGUCUGAUCUUUGCCCACUCUUAAGCCCACCUUUGUGCUCUCUCACAGUCCAGCUGCCCAGGAGCACCAAAAUGCUUUUGACAGCAGGGGCAGCCAGGGCUUAUAGGAAGAGGUGCUGGCAAGUAGCCUCCUUUUGAUGGGGUCACAGAGUGCCAAGCCCAAUCAGGGAUGGGGCUCACCUCCCACACUGGCAGGUAUACUUCUCCAGUCUUCCCCAUGCUUGGUCAAUGUUCAUGGGGCCCCCUGGGGCAGGGCUGUGGACCUGACUGUCUCCCCCUGGGUCUCCCGACCCCCAACCCCACCCAGCUGGGCAGCGCCUGCCUAUAAGCCCCCAGGCGCUACUGACCCGGCAGGCGGCCAUACUGCAGAGCUUAGUCUGCAACUCGGGACCCUCGCAGGCCUUGCCGCCGUGCUGGGGGGCACGCAGGUCCGCAUCCGGCUCCGAGACCCCCGCCCGCAGCUGCGGGAGCACAGGCUCCAGGACCCCCACUCCUCCCACACGCCGUGCACUGCAAGGAAGCACGUGGCCGGUGGCAGGGCAGCACCUUGGCCCUGCCCACUGCCAUCGCUUGCCCAUCCGCCCACCAAUCAGGAGCUCCGCCAACUCUGUGGCCACUCCUUAUUGGCUCUGCCCUGGGGUUCUACUGCCAGGGCGAUCUCUCAGUCCCCAGGACUCGGCCCUUUGAGGGAAUGUGGAAGACACAGGCUUCUGGUCCCAAGUCAUACAGGGCAGAUCCUGUGGAGACCUGGAUGAGGAGAGUAGGACCAACCCAGGAGGGCAACCAGGCAUCUUCCUCUCCUGCUCUCCUGAGGGCGCAGGAAAAGACCCAAAAUCCACCCCACUCUACCCUUCCCACCCCCAGACCCACAGCCUGAAUCCAACAUGGCAGGCCUGGAGCAAAAUGCCCCUCCCAGCCCCAAGCUCACAGACACACAAAUAGACAAGAAUCUCUACAUGGACACUGAUACACUGAGCUCACAUGCUGGAACACAGCUUUCCCCCAGCCCUUUGCAAGCACCUGCCACCCCAGGUAUCAAGAGCCCUCCCAGGUAGACCCUGCUCUCAGUUCACAGCCAGGCACCAUUAUACCCUCAGGGGAACAAGAAUAAGACUGGCUGCCCUGCCACUCACCAGGCAGGCACAUGCAUUUUCUCAACAACUACAUGCUUCCCUAUAGAGGACCUAAGGGUCUAGGGGAGGUUCCUGGAAGAGACACAAGCCCAGAUCAGGGAAGAGACUGUUGGGAAAGGCUUCAUUUAAAAAGAAAAGUGGCAUUCAUCUUAGAUCCUCAAGGACAGGCAGAAUUUUAAUAGGCAAGGUAGGGAAGGGAGGGUAAGACAAGAAGCAGCAAAUGCAGGGAGGUGGGAAAGUUCAAGAGUGCUCAUGAGGCCAGGGCUGGGAAACACAGAGAGGGCAAUGUAGGUCAAAAUGAGCCUUGUCUAUCAGGACAUGGGCAUCAGAGGAGCGUGGUGCCGAGAACUGAGCCCAGCGGUGUGGUCAGAUUCAGCUGUGUCCCUCGCCAGGCUGGGAUGGUGCAUGGGGCUAAGCAUGGUAUGAGGGACAGGCAAAUUUGUUGAAUGAAAGGAAGGGCCAACCAAGCAUUUUUGGAAGAGUCAUGUCCCAGGUAGGACCUAACCCUGCAAGCACUCCGGGGCAGGGAGGAGGAUGGGCCUACCUGGGCAGGUGGCUGAAUUGUUGCAAGGCCGGGUCUCCCCGCAGGGCCCGCUGCACAGGGUCCCAUAGGGGGAGGGACACGCAGGAGCGGGUCCGCACCUGCAGACCCUGCCCACACGUCAGGGAACACACGCUCCACGGGGACCAUUCCUCAGCCGCCGGUUACCCUGUCUGCGCCAUGUAUAGCCCAGGCUCAUCUGCAGACCUUGGCCACUGGGUUUUCACCUUCGGUUCCUCUUCCGGCUCCUCACCUGGAACACGGAGGUGGCGGCAGGGGGCUCAGCAAAAACCAGCUCAGUCCUGC